ACUGCCCAGUAACACGUGGACAACCUGCCCUUAGGUUGGGUAUAAACCCGGGAAACUGGGUAUAAUACCCGAUAGGUCUCGAUUGCUGGAAUGCAUCGAGAUUUAAAGCUCCGGCGCCUAAGGAUGGGUCUGCGGCCUAUCAGGUAGUAGUGGGUGUAGCGUACCUACUAGCCUACGACGGGUACGGGUUGUGAGAGCAAGAGCCCGGAGAUGGAUUCUGAGACACGAAUCCAGGCCCUACGGGGUGCAGCAGGCGCGAAAACUUUACAAUGCUGGCAACAGCGAUAAGGGAACCUCGAGUGCCAGGUUACAAAUCUGGCUGUCGAGAUGCCUAAAAAGCAUUUCAUAGCAAGGGCCGGGCAAGACCGGUGCCAGCCGCCGCGGUAACACCGGCGGCUCGAGUGGUAACCGUUAUUAUUGGGUCUAAAGGGUCUGUAGCCGGCCGGAUAAGUCUCUUGAGAAAUCUGGCAGCUUAACUGUCAGGCUUUCAGGAGAUACUGUCUGGCUCGAGGCCGGGAGGGGUGAGAGGUACUUCAGGGGUAGGGGUGAAAUCUUGUAAUCCUUGAAGGACCACCAGUGGCGAAGGCGUCUCACCAGAACGGACCUGACGGCAAGGGACGAAAGCUAGGGGCACGAACCGGAUUAGAUACCCGGGUAGUCCUAGCCGUAAACGAUACUCGCUAGGUGUCGGCCACGGUGCGACCGUUGUCGGUGCCGUAGGGAAGCCGUGAAGCGAGCCACCUGGGAAGUACGGGCCGCAAGGCUGAAACUUAAAGGAAUUGGCGGGGGAGCAC
rnacentral:rRNA from 1 species